rnacentral:rRNA from 1 species
AACGAACGCUGGCGGCGUGCCUAACACAUGCAAGUCGAGCGGGAAGGCCCUUUCGGGGGUACACGAGCGGCGAACGGGUGAGUAACACGUGGGUGACCUGCCCUCAGCUCUGGGAUAAGCCUGGGAAACCGGGUCUAAUACCGGAUAUGACUCCAUGACGCAUGUUGUGGGGUGGAAAGCCUUGUGCGGCUGAGGAUGGGCCCGCGGCCUAUCAGCUUGUUGGUGGGGUGAUGGCCUACCAAGGCGACGACGGGUAGCCGGCCUGAGAGGGCGACCGGCCACACUGGGACUGAGACACGGCCCAGACUCCUACGGGAGGCAGCAGUGGGGAAUCUUGCGCAAUGGGCGAAAGCCUGACGCAGCGACGCCGCGUGAGGGAUGACGGCCU